AGAAUAGAUAAGAGAGACUUCUAAUCUCAGACUUCCUUUUAAAGGUCUAUUCUU
rnacentral:tRNA from 1 species